rnacentral:rRNA from 1 species
AUUGAACGCUGGCGGCAUGCCUUACACAUGCAAGUCGAACGGCAGCGGACCUUCGGGUGCCGGCGAGUGGCGAACGGGUGAGUAAUGCAUCGGAACGUACCUUUCAGUGGGGGAUAACGUAGCGAAAGUUACGCUAAUACCGCAUAUUCUGUGAGCAGGAAAGCAGGGGAUCGCAAGACCUGGCGCGGAUGGAGCGGCCGAUGUUAGAUUAGCUAGUUGGUGAGGUAAAGGCUCACCAAGGCGACGAUCUGUAGCGGGUCUGAGAGGAUGAUCCGCCACACUGGAACUGAGACACGGUCCAGACUCCUACGGGAGGCAGCAGUGGGGAAUUUUGGACAAUGGGGGCAACCCUGAUCCAGCCAUGCCGCGUGAGUGAAGAAGGCCUUCGGGUUGUAAAGCUCUUUCGGCCGGGAAGAAAUCGCACGGGCUAAUACCCUGUGUGGAUGACGGUACCGGAAUAAGAAGCACCGGCUAACUACGUGCCAGCCGCCGCAGUAACAC